GACGAACGCUGGCGGCGUGCUUAACACAUGCAAGUCGAACGGAAAGGCCCUGCUUUUGUGGGGUGCUCGAGUGGCGAACGGGUGAGUAACACGUGAGUAACCUGCCCUUGACUUUGGGAUAACUUCAGGAAACUGGGGCUAAUACCGGAUAGGAGCUCCUGCUGCAUGGUGGGGGUUGGAAAGUUUCGGCGGUUGGGGAUGGACUCGCGGCUUAUCAGCUUGUUGGUGUGGUAGUGGCUUACCAAGGCUUUGACGGGUAGCCGGCCUGGGAGGGUGACCGGCCACAAUGGGACUGAGAUACGGCCCAGACUCCUACGGGACGCAGCAGUGGGGAGUAUUGCGCAAUGGGCGGAAGCCUGAUGCAGCAACGCCGCGUGCGGGAUGACGGCCUUCGGGUUGUAAACCGCUUUCGCCUGUGACGAAGCGUGAGUGACGGUAAUGGGUAAAGAAGCACCGGCUAACUACGUG
rnacentral:rRNA from 1 species